GGGAGAAGCUAGGGAGGGGAUGCGAAGGCGAGAGAAAGAGAGCGAGGAAAAAUGGGAGGGGCGAGAAAGAAAUAGCUAUUUCUUUUUCGCCCCUCCCAUUUUUCCUCGCUCUCUUUCUCUCGCCUUCGCAUCCCCCCCCCCCUAGUUUCUCCCA
rnacentral:snoRNA from 1 species